GUCCACCGAACUAUCGGCAGGUGAUCCACGUUGGUCGCGCGAGGUGGUAUGGUUCCCAAAGGCCAGUUCUUGUGCUGCCUACCCCUUCAGGGGAAGCAGGCUACUUGAUGUAAGCCUUCAUCCGGCGCCUUUCAACGGGCACAGGAGGACAACGAAGCACCCCCCGCGUUCCACCGAGCCUUUGUCAGUCGCGUGGCGCGCGGGGACAUGAGAUGCUCUCGGACCCAGCAAACGCCGUGGGCGAGGACUCACGUCCCAGUCCCAAAAGAAGCUUCAAUAUAAUGCUGACGGCUGCUCCCACCCCCCGACCGCCCCGGCAACGAGGGGCGAGGCGCGGCGUCGCGGAGGAAUGCUACCU
rnacentral:misc_RNA from 1 species